GACGAACGCUGGCGGCGCGCCUAACACAUGCAAGUCGAACGGAGUCAAGAGGAGCUUGCUUUUCUUGACUUAGUGGCGAACGGGUGAGUAACGCGUGAGUAACCUGCCCUGGAGUGGGGGACAACAGUUGGAAACGACUGCUAAUACCGCAUAAGCCCACGGAUCCGCAUGGCUCUGCGGGAAAAGGAUUUAUUCGCUUCAGGAUGGACUCGCGUCCAAUUAGCUAGUUGGUGCGGUAACGGCCCACCAAGGCGACGAUUGGUAGCCGGACUGAGAGGUUGAACGGCCACAUUGGGACUGAGACACGGCCCAGACUCCUACGGGAGGCAGCAGUGGGGGAUAUUGCACAAUGGGGGAAACCCUGAUGCAGCGACGCCGCGUGGAGGAAGAAGGUUUUCGGAUUGUAAACUCCUGUCGUUAGGGACGAUAAUGACGGUACCUAACAAGAAAGCACCGGCUAACUACGUG
rnacentral:rRNA from 1 species